rnacentral:rRNA from 1 species
CGCGACCCCAGGUCAGGCGGGGCUACCCGCUG